rnacentral:rRNA from 1 species
GAUGAACGCUGGCGGCGUGCCUAAUACAUGCAAGUCGAGCGAAGCGGGGACGGGUGAGUAACACUGAGAUACCCUCCUAUAAGACUGGAAUACAUGGGGGAAACCCGCGCUAAACCGGAUACUUGGAGAUGGAACCUCGCUGCAUUAGCUAGUUGGUAAGGUAACGGCUUACAAAGGCAAAGAAGCAUAACCGACCUGAUAGGGUGAUCGGCCACACUGGAACUGAGACACGGUCCAGACUCCUACGGGAGGAAGCAGUAGGGAAUCUUCCGCAAUGGGCGAAAGCCUGACGGAGCAACGCCGCGUGAGUGAUGAAGGUCUUCGGAUCGUAAAACUCUGUUAUUAGGGAAGCGGUACCUAAUCAGAAAGCCACGGCUAACUACGUGCCAGCAGCCGCGGUAAUAC